rnacentral:rRNA from 1 species
UACGGAGGGGGCGAGCGUUAUUCGGAAUUAUUGGGCGUAAAGGGCGCGUAGGCGGCCCUGUAAGUCAAAGGUGAAAUCCCUCGGCUCAACUGAGGAACUGCCUUUGAAACUGCAGGGCUUGAGGCCGGGAGGGGGUAGCGGAAUUCCCAAUGUAGCGGUGAAAUGCGUAGAUAUUGGGAGGAACACCAGUGGUGAAGGCGGCUACCUGGACCGGUUCUGACGCUGAGGCGCGAAAGCGUGGGUAGCAAACAGG